GUGGGGAAUCUUAGACAAUGGGGGAAACCCUGAUCUAGCCAUGCCGCGUGAGCGAUGAAGGCCUUAGGGUUGUAAAGCUCUUUCAGCUGGGAAGAUAAUGACUGUACCAGCAGAAGAAGCCCCGGCUAACUCCGUGCCAGCAGCCGCGGUAAUACGGAGGGGGCUAGCGUUGUUCGGAAUUACUGGGCGUAAAGCGCACGUAGGCGGACCGGAAAGUCAGAGGUGAAAUCCCAGGGCUCAACCUUGGAACUGCCUUUGAAACUCCUGGUCUUGAGGUCGAGGGAGGAGAGUGGAAUUCCGAGUGUAGAGGUGAAAUGCGUAGAUAUGCGGAGGAACACCAGUGGCGAAGGCGGCUCACUGGCUCGAUACUGACGCUGAGGUGCGAAAGCGUGGGGAGCAAACAGGAUUAGAAACCCCUAUAGUCC
rnacentral:rRNA from 1 species